CACGGAGUUAGCCGGUGCUUCUUCUGCGGGUAACGUCAAUUGCUGCGGUUAUUAACCACAACACCUUCCUCCCCGCUGAAAGUACUUUACAACCCGAAGGCCUUCUUCAUACACGCGGCAUGGCUGCAUCAGGCUUGCGCCCAUUGUGCAAUAUUCCCCA
rnacentral:rRNA from 1 species